rnacentral:rRNA from 1 species
GACGAACGCUGGCGGCGUGCCUAAUACAUGCAAGUCGAGCGAAUCAAUGGGAGCUUGCUCCCUGAGAUUAGCGGCGGACGGGUGAGUAACACGUGGGUAACCUGCCUGUAAGACUGGGAUAACUUCGGGAAACCGGAGCUAAUACCGGAUAGUUUCUUUUCUCGCAUGAGAGAAGAUGGAAAGAUGGUUUCGGCUAUCACUUACAGAUGGACCCGCGGCGCAUUAGCUAGUUGGUGAGGUAACGGCUCACCAAGGCGACGAUGCGUAGCUGACCUGAGAGGGUGAUCGGCCACACUGGGACUGAGACACGGCCCAGACUCCUACGGGAGGCAGCAGUAGGGAAUCUUCCGCAAUGGACGAAAGUCUGACGGAGCAACGCCGCGUGAGCGAAGAAGGCCUUCGGGUCGUAAAGCUCUGUUGUUAGGGAAGAACAAGUACGAGAGUAACUGCUCGUACCUUGACGGUACCUAACCAGAAAGCCACGGCUAACUACGUGCCAGCCGCCGCGGUAA